rfam:Nicotiana attenuata strain TT scaffold09280, whole genome shotgun sequence.
NNAAGCGUGCUUGGGCGAGAGUAGUACUAGGAUGGGUGACCCCCUGGGAAGUCCUCGUGUUGCAUCCC